UGCAAAACUGAAAAGUUCACAGUCUGUUUUUUGCUUAUCUAAUAACAAUCACCUCUCAUGUGCAUGACCUUUUCUGAGAAGCGGGAUCAAUACGGCUUGCCAUGAUGCUGCAAGCAAACCACUGUUUACUUUACCUUAGCGUAUCUUUCAGUCAUUUAAAAAGGUCAACGGACUCUGUUAUUCUGAUGGGGCGAGAACCCUGCCCUUUCCUUUUUGGAUUGAUCUGAAGGGUUCCCGCAAAAUGGACUAUACUCGCUCCUGCUAUCCAUCUUCUCUCUGUCGUUCUGUAUGGAAGGCCAUGUAGCCGUGUGCGUGCGCGGGCACGCGUGUUUGUGCGCAUGGACAAGAGAGUUUGUACAAAGUCUGUGUGCGCAGGAUUUUGGUACAGUUCAUGUACUGAAACACUCUUCAAAGAGAUAGGUCAAAACAGUGUUUUAUCAUCAAGCAGGUUUGGCUCCCCUUUGAAGGUCUAACGAAUUUUUCUUCCAGUCGGGGCCCUCUUUGAGUUUGUGUGCAAAACAUUACAGAGGCAGUUGUUGUGGGGGAAGUGGCAACAGCGGCAGCUAUUGAAGUUUGGGAAGAAUGAAGGCUGAGGAUUAGGGCGUUCAAACAUUGCUGUCCUGUGUGAGCCUUGAUAUGACUGCACCUGGGAACAGGCUGUUCUGCGCUGUUUCUCCUGAGUCCAGGAGCUGUAGCCUACUAUGCUGAUGUUGUGACCCAUAAGUCAAAUGGAGGGGAACGCUUCUGUGAUGACAUCUGGGCACGAUGCUUGGCCAUAUGGUAUUAUGUUUCUUUGGGUUCCUUAUACAAAAACAGCACAUUUAAAUGCUACACGUAGUUGGUGUCUCUGGGACUAUUUAAUAAAAUGCAUUAAUAAAGGA